GUUUUACUAUUUUAGUGACUUUCUGAUGCUUCAGUUGAGAAUUCAGACUCGAGUUAGAAGGGAAACGGACACCACAGCCACAGGAUUUGGCCUGGACUGUGUUCUCUAGCGGAUUCUUAGACAUUUUUUUUCUUUAAUUAAUUUUUGUUUGUGCCUGAUUAAAAAUUG